GUUUUAAUAGUUUAAUUAAAAAACAAUGGUUUUGUAAAUCAUUAAUAGGUAAAUCCUUUAAAACU
rnacentral:tRNA from 1 species